UACGGGGGGGGCAAGCGUUGUUCGGAAUUACUGGGCGUAAAGGGCUCGUAGGCGGCCGAUCAAGUCGGGGGUGAAAGCCUGUGGCUCAACCACAGAAUUGCCUUCGAUACUGUUUGGCUUGAGACCGGAAGAGGUAAGUGGAACUGCGAGUGUAGAGGUGAAAUUCGUAGAUAUUCGCAAGAACACCAGUGGCGAAGGCGGCUUACUGGUCCGGUUCUGACGCUGAGGCGCGAAAGCGUGGGGAGCAAACAGG
rnacentral:rRNA from 1 species